CAGCCGCCGCGGGAACACGAAGGGUGCAAGCGUUAAUCGGAAUUACUGGGCGUAAAGCGUGCGUAGGCGGUUUGUUAAGUCUGUUGUGAAAUCCCCGGGUUCAACCUGGGAAUGGCAAUGGAUACUGGCAAGCUAGAGUGUGUCAGAGGAUGGUGGAAUUCCCGGUGUAGCGGUGAAAUGCGUAGAGAUCGGGAGGAACAUCAGUGGCGAAGGCGGCCAUCUGGGACAACACUGACGCUGAGGCACGAAAGCGUGGGGAGCAAACAGGAUUAGAUACCCCGGUAGUCCCUGUCUCUUAUAC
rnacentral:rRNA from 1 species